rnacentral:rRNA from 1 species
UACGUAGGGUCCAAGCGUUAAUCGGAAUUACUGGGCGUAAAGCGUGCGUAGACGGUAGCGUAAGUCAGAUGUGAAAGCCCCGGGCUCAACCUGGGAACUGCAUUUGAGACUGCUCUGCUCGGGUGCGGAAGAGGGAAGCGGAAUUUCCGGUGUAGCGGUGAAAUGCGUAGAUAUCGGGAGGAACACCCGUGGCGAAGGCGGCUCUCUGGGACGGUACUGACGCUGAGACGCGAAAGCGUGGGGAGCGAACAGG